GUGGUGGCGCGGGGGUUUUACCGUUUCCUCCGCUUAAGUCCGGCCGAAGCAGAACGGUGUCAGGCAGGACUACACCAC
rnacentral:ncRNA from 1 species